rnacentral:rRNA from 1 species
AUGCAUGUGUCAGUACAAACUAAACUAAAGUGAAACCGCGAAUGGCUCAUUAAAUCAGCUAUGAUUAAUUGGAUCUGUACACCCAGUUUUCCUUGGAUAACUGUGGUAAUUCUAGAGCUAAUACAUGCACAUAUAGUCCCUAACCUAACGGAAAGGGCGCACUUAUUACUAUCAAAAACAGCGGGACAGGCUUCGGUCUGUGAACCAGUUUUAUAUGAUGACUCUAGAUAAAUUUGGGCUGAGCGCACGGUCUUUUGCACUAGCGCCGCUUCUUUCAAGUGUCUGCCUUAUCAGCUAGAUUGUAGGUUAUGUGCUUACAAUGGCUAUAACGGGUAACGGGGAAUCAGGGUUCGAUUCCGGAGAGGGAGCCUGAGAAACGGCUACCACAUCUAAGGAAGGCAGCAGGCACGCAAAUUACCCACUCCCGGCCUGGGGAGGUAGUGACGAAAAAUAACGAUGCGAGACUCAUCCGAGGCCUCGCAAUCGGAAUGAGUACACUUUAAAUCCUUUAACGAGGAUCAAUUGGAGGGCAAGUCUGGUGCCAGCAGCCGCGGUAAUUCCAGCUCCAAUGGCGUAUAUUAAAGCUGUUGCGGUUAAAAAGCUCGUAGUUGGAUUUCAGUAUUGGACUGAUUGAGUUUUUUCACCAUCUGGUGAUUAAACCGAAUCAAGCUUCAAAACCUGCUACCACAAUAUCACAGUGUGUUGCUCCACUAGCUCACACGGGAUGCUCUUAAUCGAGUGUCCCGAGUGGCUGGUAUGUUUACUUUGAAAAAAUUAGAGUGCUCAGAGCAGGCAAAUAAUGGCCUGAACGUCUAUGCAUGGAAUAAUAUAAGAGGACCUCGGUUUUAUGUUUUACCGCGUUUCUUUUGGAAACCCGAGGUAAUGAUUAAGAGAGAUGUGUGGGGGCAUUAGUACUGCGACGCUAGAGGGGGAUGUUUUCAUUAAUCAAGAACGAAAGUUAGAGGUUCGAAGGCGAUCAGAUACCGCCCUAGUUCUAACCAUAAACGAUGCUAACCAGCAAUCCGCCGGUGUUAAUACCAAUGACUCGGCGGGCAGCUUCCGGGAAACCAAAGUCUUUGAGUUCCGGGGGUAGUAUGGUUGCAAAUCUGAAACUUAAAGGAAUUGACGGAAGGGCACCACCAGGAGUGGAGCCUGCGGCUUAAUUUGACUCAACACGGGAAACCUCACCAGGCCCAGACACUGGAAGGAUUGACAGAUUGAGAGCUCUUUCUCGAUUCAGUGGGUGGUGGUGCAUGGCCGUUCUUAGUUGGUGGAGCGAUUUGUCUGGUUAAUUCCGAUAACGAACGAGACUCUGGCCUAUUAACUAGUCGACGGAUUUCCAAACCAUGCAUUGGUGUCCAGUUCGCAGCCAUUUCUUCUUAGAGGGAUAAGCGGUAGUCCUAGCCGCACGAGAAUGAGCAAUAACAGGUCUGUGAUGCCCUUAGAUGUUCUGGGCCGCACGCGCGCUACACUGAAGGGAUCAGAGUGUUUUCCCCCUCCGAGAGGAGCGGGUAACCCGAUGAAACCCCUUCGUGAUAGGGAUUGGGGCUUGUAAUUAUUUCCCAUGAACGAGGAAUUCCCAGUAAGCGCAAAUCAAGAGUUUGCGUUGAUUACGUCCCUGCCCUUUGUACACACCGCCCGUCGCUACUACCGAUUGAAUGAUUUAGUGAGGCCUUCGGACUGUCGCUCUUGGUUAUCUUAGCAUAAUGCUAGUGCCUAGAGCUGACGGAAAGAUGUCCAAACUUGAUCAUUUAAAGGAAGUAAAAGUCGUAACAAGGUUUCC